UCGCAAUGCGCGAAAGCGUGACGAGGUUAAUCCGAGUGACUUCCGCUGAGGAGGUCUUUUGUCAGCUGUAAAUAGGCAGGCGAAUAAGGGGAGGGCAAGCCUGGUGUCAGCCGCCGCGGUAAUACCAGCUCCUCGAGUGGUCGGGGCGAUUAUUGGGCCUAAAGCAUCCGUAGCCGGUUCCGUAGGUCCUCUGUUAAAUCCAACCGCUUAACGGUUGACCUGCAGAGGAUACCGCGGGACUAGGAGGCGGGAGAGGCGGACGGUACUCCGCGUGUAGGGGUAAAAUCCUUUGAUCCGCGGAAGACCACCAGUGGCGAAGGCGGUCCGCCAGAACGCGCUCGACGGUGAGGGAUGAAAGCUGGGGGAGCGAACCGG
rnacentral:rRNA from 1 species